CUUGAUUCGAAGCCGGGUCGGAGCGCCAACAGUGAGAUGCACCCCUAGGAGUUAGGGCGUCACGUGCCAUUUUCGCGACUAUUUGGCAGUUCCGGGUUCGGCGCCCUCGAGUCACCGCCGCGAUAAUACUCUCGAUGAUCUUCUUCUCAAAGACGACACAUGCCCAAGUGCCACUUCCUGCUGGUGACCAUUAAACCAGUGCUCAGUGUUACAGUUGGCGUUGCUGAAACUUAGUGCGUUCCACGCAUUGCAUAAUCAAUGACAGAAAGUGUUGAUCGGCGUGCAGAGAGAUGGGAAGCGAGCAUUACUGUUUGAGGUGGAAUAAUCAUCAAAGCAAUUUACUCGGGGUGUUCAGUCAACUGCUCCGUGACGAAAGUCUAGUAGACGUAACCCUGGCCUGCUCGGAGGGCCAUUCGAUUCGAGCUCACAAAGUCGUCCUUUCUGCCUGUUCCUCCUAUUUCCAGACGCUCUUCGUCGAUCAUCCCAGUCGUCAUCCGAUCGUCAUUCUCAAAGACGUCCGCUUUGCGGAACUUAGGACACUCAUCGAAUUCAUGUACAAGGGCGAAGUCAACGUCGAAUACUGCCAACUGUCGGCCCUCCUCAAGACGGCGGAGAGUCUCAAAGUUAAGGGGCUCGCCGAAAUGACCAGGGAAUAUAAACACACGGAACCGGAGCAAACGGAGCCCACGGAACUAACCCGGAGGCCGGCGUCUCACUCUCCGUCGGUGGACGAGAAUGACCGCCUCCAUCCCUCGUCGCAGUCGCCACCCGUACAAAAUCUAAGGGUGUGUCGGUCGCCCAUCGACCAUCAAGAGAACGAAGCGAAAAGGCCGUCGUCACCGGAAAACACCCGGAAUGUCAGUUCGCCGGUAACAAGCGAUUGCGGUCCAAGCGACAUGUCAAUUCACAGUAAUAGCAACAAUAUGGUGGCGGCGUGUCCGGGGAUGAACGCCCCGAUUAUAUGCACGAGGUUACCGUCGCCGAUCACUGAACCUCUUCCCGGACCCUCCAAUAUGCCACCAGUUCAACAAGUGCCUCUGAGCCUCAAGAAGGAAGUUGACUGGAGCGGAGGUCUAGAAGACAAAAAUACAGGAGAGAGUUCAUCAGACUUUUCGAGACACCCCCACGAUUCUACCUCCGUGGACAUUGACCGGCCCUCCAGCUCGCCCCACGAACGCCCCUCCAGCACCCAAAGCAGCCGUUCGUCCACCCCAUUCGCCCUCCCCUUUCCCUCUCUCCCCACCUCAAUCCUGGAAGUGGGCCUCAUCCACCCGUCCCUCCUCGGCGAGGAGAUGUUCCGUUGUCCGUCGUGCAUGGCCGCCUUCCCCUCCAUCUGGCUUUUAGAGCAACACACCGCCCUUCAGCACAUCGGCUCCCUCAACUCCUUAGAAAAGCCCUUUAUUUGUGAGCAGUGUGGCCAGAGCUACAGGUACCGAUCGGCCUAUGUCAAACACCGGGAGCAGAACCAUAGGGCACGUCUCCCAGCCGAUAAACUCUUCUCCUGUGACGUCUGCGGGAUGCAGUUUAGGUACCUUAAGUCGUUCAAAAAGCACAGAUUGAACCACGCUUUGGAGAAGUUGCAUGGGAAGAGUGGGGAUGUGGGGAGGGUAGGGGCGGUGGAGGAGUCCAAGAGUGUGGAUAACAGCAGCGAUCAGGUGUCGAGCUCAAACGAGACCAUUGUUUUGGAGGGGAAGGACGAGGGGGUGGUGGUCAAAAAGGAGGAGAGUAUGAACGAUGAUGCUGGUGAGGGUGCGUCAUCGGACGCCGAGAAACCCGACGCCGACCAGGACGACACCAUCGACUCCAUGGCCGUCUCGUACCCCGUUUCGUCCGGCACCGGUCUGGACAUCCUCCGGAGCAGCCACGACCCCUCCAUCAUCAGUUUUUUACGCGCCGAUGCCGCUGAAAAGCAACGCGAGCGCCGUUUCGCGUGCCCCUUUUGCGGCAAAUGCGUCCGCUCCAAGGAGAAUCUGAAACUCCACGUGCGAAAGCACACCGGCGAACGGCCCUUCGUGUGUUUAUUCUGCGGACGUGCCUUCGGCGGAAAGAGCGACCUGACACGCCAUCUACGCAUCCACACUGGCGAAAGACCCUACCAUUGCGACAUGUGCGGGAAGUGUUUCGCGCGUGCUGAUUACCUCUCCAAGCACUUGACCACACAUAUUAACACUUCCCGCUGAUAGUACUGGCAAAAAGGGGCGCGUGGUGACAUCUAGGCUGCCGGAACACAACUGCCAAUCACGCGUUGCCACGAACGGUUUUUGGUUGGUAUUUGUCCACAAAUGAAUGUUUUCCGUCCUUGCAUUUUUGUUUUGAUGGCUGUGAAUUUGAAAGUGUUAUAGUUUUUUAACUUGGUCGAGAAGCGUUUAGUUAUCGCGCAUAUUUUGGGAGAAUAUGUGCCAUCCCUAAACUAGCCAUUAGAUGACGUAAGCGAUAUUAGUGAGCUAGCAAUUAAAGCAAUAUUUAGUGAAAACAGAUGAUAAAUAAUUUGGGGAAAAAUCGGGUUGAUCGUUCCUUCUAGUCAUGACGGUAGUUAACUGCUGUGGCCUUGUUCCAGUAUUAAUGUCCACAAAAAUGAUAACUUUGUACACGGAAACAUCGAAUAUGAAUCUUAUAACUGAUUUAAGUAUAACUGAUGGUUUAUUAUGUAGUUUUGUGCCAAUUCGAUGUACCUCAUGACAUUCUGUGUUUAGAUGGUGUUAAAAUAUUUACAAUGUAAUUAAGCUAAACGUUUCUUUUCAUAGUGUAUAAAUUAAAUGUUUAACAUCGAAUUUCUACAGAAUUAUUUUUUUAUACGCACUAUACAACAAGACGAUGUCCAUUAAUCCGUAUUGCCAAGAAUUAUUUUUUAUACAUGUAAUAGAUAAGUUUCGACGAUGCUCAAUACAAUCACAUCAAUAAGUACCUAAUGGCCAUAAUACUGAUGUUAAACAUUUAGCCACUUUUUUUAUACCUCUAACUUUUAAAAUACUUUAGGACAAUUUUACAUCUUGUAAAUGUUGAUGGUGCCUUUUCAAAUAUUUUAUUGAUGAAAAUUCAUUUUUAUCUCAGCUACGUCACUCAUAUUUUACCGGAAUGUCUCAAACAAGAUUUUAUUUAUGUCUUUCACAAAUGAAAUAUUUGCUGUGAUAAUAACGAAUCAACUCUUUUCAAACACCACCACAUUACAAUUCGGUUGCAUCUUCUUGUAAAAAUGUUUUUUCAUCCUGAAAUUUGUACAACUUUGUCCUAAAGUAGGCAUACUUUGAUCAUUAAAAUAGUUAUAUAAAUAAAUGUUCCUAAUAAAUGUGAUUAGGUGUUAUCGACUAUGUAUAUUGUUAUUGUCAUAUUCUAUAUUGAAACAAGAAUUUUAUUUGGAAAACUGUCCAAAAAACGAGUCAAAUGAUGCAAAGGAGGGGCAUAGACUUAAUCUCUAAAAUAAUAAUUGUGAAAAUUAAAUGUUUCUCUCGAUGUACGUCUAUACCUAUGCUACAUUAUCUCAUAGUUUUCAAUGGUUACUUUUUAAUAUAAUUUAUUUCAAUAGUUAUUAUUAUACAAAAUAAAUGUAAUUUUUUUCUAUUCGUUCAUUAAAAGGGAAAAGUUUUGUUCA